GACGAACGCUGGCGGCGUGCUUAACACAUGCAAGUCGAACGGAAAGGCCCUGCUUUUGCUGGGUGCUCGAGUGGCGAACGGGUGAGUAACACGUGAGUAACCCGCCCUUGACUUUGGGAUAACUUCAGGAAACUGGGGCUAAUACCGGAUAGGAGCUCCUGCUGCAUGGUGGGGGUUGGAAAGUUUCGGCGGUUGGGGCUGUACUCGCUGCUUAUCCGCUUGUUGGUGGGGUAGUGGCUUACAAAGGCUUUGACGGGUAGCCGGCCUGAGAGGGUGACCGGGCACCUGGGGACUGAGGUACGGACCAGACUCCUACGGGCGGCAGCAGUGGGAAAUAUUGCACAAUGGGCGGACGCCUGAUGCAGCAACGCCGCGUGCGGGAUGACGGCCUUCGGGUUGUAAACCGCUUUCGCCUGUGACGAAGCGUGAGUGACGGUAAUGGGUAAAGAAGCACCGGCUAACUACGUG
rnacentral:rRNA from 1 species